rnacentral:lncRNA from 1 species
UGAGCACAAGUGGCCGAGUUCCGAGGGACUUUAGGAAAUGCUUCUCCUCCCUUCCUGGGCAUGCAAACAAGAUUCUGCACCUGCACCGCAGUUUGUCCGAGACAGAAGCCUCUGCCUCGCCUCGCCUCGCCCGCAGGGACAAGGAACUAGAGCAAGAAGCAGCAUUUGAAAAUUGCUCUGGAUUCAAGGACCAACACAUCUCAUGAAGGAGAAAGAAGGCAGCUCCAUCGACAUGUUCAAAGGCCAUCCAGUAGGAACCACAGCCAUGUGCAUGUCCCUGAGGAACUUAAAGAGCAAAAUCAGGAGAUGGAUGAAGUCAGGUGACUGCAGACAUGGCUGCUGGAAUCAGAGCCAGGAGGAGUAGACGGCCAGAGCCUGUUUUGAUUUGCUCCUGAGGAUGCCCAGAAGAAAAGAAGCCCCACGAGAACUGGUAGCUGUGUGAGCACAGAGAAGCAUGACAGACAACUGAUACAUCGGAUCUUUAGAAGUACUGUCAGUACUCUGUAGGAAAUACAGCUUACUCUGGAAAACACAAUUGACACAACUGUUUAAAAGAAACAAAGAUAUUAAACACACCAAUAAAUAACUGUACAUUAAAGUUGUAA